GUAGGUGGCAAGCGUCGUCCGGGAAUUAUUGGGGCGUAAAGCGCGCGCAGGCGGUUCUUUAAGUCUGAUGUGAAAGCCCACGGGCUCAACCGUGGAGGGUCAUUGGAAACUGGAGAACUUGAGUACAGAAGAGGAAAGCGGAAUUCCACGUGUAGCGGUGAAAUGCGUAGAGAUGUGGAGGAACACCAGUGGCGAAGGCGGCUUUCUGGUCUGUAACUGACGCUGAGGCGCGAAAGCGUGGGGAGCAAACAGGAUUAGAUACCCUGGUAGUCCACGCCGUAAACGAUGAGUGCUAAGUGUUAGGGGGUUCCCGCCCCUUAGUGCUGCAGCUAACGCAUUAAGCACUCCGCCUGGGGAGUACGGCCGCAAAGGCUGA
rnacentral:rRNA from 1 species